GCCAGACUCCUACGGGAGGCAGCAGUGAGGAAUAUUGGUCAAUGGGCGCGAGCCUGAACCAGCCAAGUCGCGUGAGGGAAGACGGUCCUAUGGAUUGUAAACCUCUUUUGUCGGGGAGCAAAGAGAGUCACGUGUGGCUCAUUGAGAGUACCCGAAGAAAAAGCAUCGGCUAACUCCGUGCCAGCAGCCGCGGUAAUACGGAGGAUGCGAGCGUUAAUCGGAAUUACUGGGCGUAAAGCGCUCGUAGGCGGUAUGUCAAGUCAAGGGUGAAAUCCCCGCGCUCAACGUGGGAACUGCCUUUGAAACUGGCAAACUGGAGUGUGUGAGAGGAUAGUGGAAUUCCAGGUGUAGGAGUGAAAUCCGUAGAUAUCUGGAGGAACAUCAGUGGCGAAGGCGACUAUCUGGCACAUAACUGACGCUGAGGAGCGAAAGCGUGGGUAGCAAACAGGAUUAGAUACCCCCGUAC
rnacentral:rRNA from 1 species